AAUUGUUCCGUGUGAAAAGCCGUGCGGUAACAUCGAGGCGUGCGCUCCUGCCAGGUCGCCGUAAGCCUUCGUCGGCGGAACGGGUUGUGAAGGUCAGUGCUUGGGCAACCCAGACAAGACUGGCUGAUUACCAGGUGCAGAUGCUUUGGGUUGGAGCAGGAUUUGAGCUGGGUGGCCCAGCCAGAGCCAUUGGUCCCUUUCCUGGAAGUGAUGACUGAGUGGCACCAGCAGGGGGAGAAUUGGAUCAGUAUCACAGUGUUUGAAGAGGAGGUUAUUGUGAAGACUGACCUACUGAAACUGUAUCAUACCUUGAAUGCAAUAAAACAACUUUGGUUUGGACUAAAUCAUUAUCCAUGGAGAGCUGCAGAAAGCUACCAGGCAUGUCUAAACUCAUAAAAAUAAUGAGAUGGUAAAACCCAUGGAGAGAACUAGUCCAGGAUUUACUUAGUCACCAACUUGGCCUGUUUUGCCAAACUGUGUACUUACAAAUUGUCAUAUUGGAAUUUGCACUGUGUUUUGUGUGGGCUCAAAGAGAAAUGAUAUCUGACUCUGAAAACCACUGUUCCGAGUCCUGGCUUACUGGUUUCCCAUAAUGGUUGAUGGAGAGUUGACUGUCCUGCUGCAAUGGCCAGUACUUACUCAGUACACAUAUAAAUCACUUUCCAUAUUUGAGGAAUAAAGACAAAACCUUGCGGGGAUUUACUGCUAGU
rnacentral:lncRNA from 1 species